CCUACGGGUGGCUGCAGUGGGGAAUAUUGCACAAUGGGGGAAACCCUGAUGCAGCGACGCCGCGUGAGCGAAGAAGUAUUUCGGUAUGUAAAGCUCUAUCAGCAGGGAAGAAACUGACGGUACCUGACUAAGAAGCACCGGCUAAAUACGUGCCAGCAGCCGCGGUAAUACGUAUGGUGCAAGCGUUAUCCGGAUUUACUGGGUGUAAAGGGAGCGUAGACGGAUGUGCAAGUCUGGAGUGAAAGCCCGGGGCUCAACCCCGGGACUGCUUUGGAAACUGUAUAUCUAGAGUGCUGGAGAGGUAAGUGGAAUUCCUAGUGUAGCGGUGAAAUGCGUAGAUAUUAGGAGGAACACCAGUGGCGAAGGCGGCUUACUGGACAGUAACUGACGUUGAGGCUCGAAAGCGUGGGGAGCAAACAGGAUUAGAUACCCUAGUAGUC
rnacentral:rRNA from 1 species